CCAAUAGCGUAUAUUAAAGUUGUUGCAGUUAAAAAGCUCGUAGUUGAAUUUCGAGAUCAAAUUGUUGGUCGUGCCUUGGUACGUACUGGCAUUAUUGGUUUCUCCCUUCUGAAGAACCAUGAUGUCAUUAAUUUGGUGUCAUGGGGAAUCAGGACUGUUACUUUGAAAAAAUUAGAGUGUUUAAAGCAGGCUCGCGCUUGAAUACAUUAGCAUGGAAUAAUGAAAUAGGACGUUUAAUUCUAUUUUGUUGGUUUCUAGGAUUGACGUAAUGAUUAAUAGGGAUAGUUGGGGGCAUUAGUAUUCAAUUGUCAGAGGUGAAAUUCUUGGAUUUAUUGAAGACUAACUACUGCGAAAGCAUUUGCCAAGGAUGUUUUCAUUAAUCAAGAACGAAAGUUAGGGGAUCGAAGACGAUCAGAUACCGUCGUAGUCUUAACCAUAAACUAUGCCGACUAGGGAUCGGAUGAUGUUAAUUUUUUAAUGACUCAUUCGGCGCCUUACG
rnacentral:rRNA from 1 species